UUUUAUGCUCAACUUUUACUUUUGCGCAAUGUGUAUGUGAACUGUAGCCAAUAGUCAACACAACGCAAACAACUUGUGCAAAAGUUGCUUGUUCGUACAGCGAAAACGCAAAAGGGGUAAUAAGAGUAUUUCUCUAAGUUAUCGCAUUUAUCACACUUAUGUAAGCGCAUCGAAUCGAUUUGAAAACGAGCAGCACGUCUAAGAAAUUGCCAAUACGAAAAAAAAAUUGUCGCAGCCAACUGAAAACAAUGCAUAUCGUAAGAAGUCAUCAUCAACAAAAGCA